AGCGGCGGAUGGGUGAGUAACACGUGGGGAACCUGCCCCUAAGUCUGGGAUACCAUUUGGAAACAGGUGCUAAUACCGGAUAAUAAAGCAGAUCGCAUGAUCAGCUUUUGAAAGGCGGCGUAAGCUGUCGCUAAGGGAUGGCCCCGCGGUGCAUUAGCUAGUUGGUAAGGUAACGGCUUACCAAGGCGACGAUGCAUAGCCGAGUUGAGAGACUGAUCGGCCACAUUGGGACUGAGACACGGCCCAAACUCCUACGGGAGGCAGCAGUAGGGAAUCUUCCACAAUGGACGCAAGUCUGAUGGAGCAACGCCGCGUGAGUGAAGAAGGUCUUCGGAUCGUAAAGCUCUGUUGUUGGUGAAGAAGGAUAGAGGUAGUAACUGGCCUUUAUUUGACGGUAAUCGACCAGAAAGUCACGGCUAACUACGUGCCAGCAGCCGCGGUAAUACGUAGGUGGCAAGCGUUGUCCGGAUUUAUUGGGCGUAAAGCGAGCGCAGGCGGAAAAAUAAGUCUAAUGUGAAAGCCCUCGGCUUAACCGAGGAACUGCAUCGGAAACUGUUUUUCUUGAGUGCAGAAGAGGAGAGUGGAACUCCAUGUGUAGCGGUGGAAUGCGUAGAUAUAUGGAAGAACACCAGUGGCGAAGGCGGCUCUCUGGUCUGCAACUGACGCUGAGGCUCGAAAGCAUGGGUAGCGAACAGGAUUAGAUACCCUGGUAGUCCAUGCCGUAAACGAUGAGUGCUAAGUGU
rnacentral:rRNA from 1 species